AUGCCACCGUACCGUUUCACGACUCUUUUCUUUCUUCUUCCCCCCGAGCGCAUAGUGCCCUUAUCAGUUCCCCCCAUCUCCCUCGUCUCCUCUCCUUCGCCUAGGGUUUGCACCCAGCCGCCGCCGCCGCCACUCGACGACCCAGCCGCUGCCGCUCGGCGACCGGAGGCCAUGAAUCCGCCCGCCGCCGCUACCCCACGAAACCCCUGCCGCGCCGUCGAGGGCCCGCCGCCGCCCCAUGAAUCCCCUGCCGUGCCGUCGAGGGCCCGCCGCCGCCCCACGAAUCUCCGCUCUUGUGGAUCCGCCGCCCGAAGCCCCUGCUCCGCCGCCUGCUGAUCCGUGGAGCCGCCGCCCGAAGCCCCUGCUCUGCCGCCUGCUGGUCCGUACAUGGCCGCCGCUGCCACCCUGCUGGUUCGUGGCCGCCGCGUGGGCCGCCUGAAGCAUCCACCUCGACUCCUCCUCCGACGCUCAUGCUGCUGCCCGGCGUUGCCCCUCUUAUAGCCCUCUGCCCCCUCUGCUCUGUCCUUGUUUCGCUACUGCCUACUGCCUGACGCCGCCCUCCGCCAGCACGAGCAGAUCGGCCAGGAACUCUUCAUCCCCGAACUCGGAGCCUCUGGGACUGCUCUUCUCCGCCACGCACUCCCUCCCUUACUGUCCAGCAGAUCUCUCCCCAACUGGCAUUUUGCAAUUUUGAUUUUGUGAUUUUCUGAAAUCUAUGGCAUGUUGCAAUUAUUUUGUGAUUUUGCAAUUGUAUAUAAAAAGAGUGGCAUGAUAUUUAACUUUUUUUUUCUGGUAAAGACAUAAUGUUUCAGUUUAAGGGCGUUGUAGUCUUUUCAUCAGAAACCCUAGACGAUCUUCUUAGAAAAUAGAAGCCGAAAAGAACCGUAGCUUCUAGCUGGCUUCUCCUCGCCACAGUUUCUAUGGACAGAGAAGCUAAAGUUGUUUCUGAAGAAGCUGAAGCCAAAAAGAACUGAUCCUAUAUCUAUCUCCGAGGUGUUUGGGUUUUGCAAAACUCCAUAGACAUGCAGAAGAGAAAUGCUAUCCCCACUCCGACCAAUUUGAUCAGGCCUACAUCGUUUUUGUCAGACCCCGGAUGGAUCUGACUUGGAUUUUAAUUGGGAUCGAGCAAAAGCAAUUGAGAAAAGUUGAAGAACAAAUAGGAGAUGUAUGUGUAUAUUGAUAAAGCGCCGUAUCCUGUGCAUCCGCCUGCCUCGAUGUUUUCCUGCAUCCGCUUCAUCUCCUCCGGCCGAUACAAAUCCAAGGCAGCAUCCCCGAUUUUGCAAAUUUUGCAAGAAAACGCCGGCAACUUUUUAUGUUAAUCAUGUUUAUUUGGCAAACACCCACUCAGCAGACGCAAGUCUCCCAAUUCCAACCUGUGUGCUACUUUUCCCAAUCUCUCGGCUGCUCUGACCAUCCUCCAUGGCCAAUGAUGAAUGAGCGCCUGCAUGUGUGGGAGCAGCGGACCAUGUCCCGGAGGCGGAAGACCAAAUCUCGACGAUGGCGACUGCACUGGACACCCGCGUUGGUGGGCUGCUGCACUAUCCCGUUGGCACGGAGAGCUGCAGCCUGCAGAGGCGCGACCAAAUCCUGAGAACGGAGGUUUGCUAGUAUUCGGCGACUCUCACUCACUGUUAUGCGGGCGACGACCAUCACACCCCUGACUUUUUAUACGUUCGAUUCUUCUUUUUGGUUGUGUCCCUGCCUAGAUUUCGUCUCCCAUGGUGGACUGCAACUCACUUUUUUUUCUUCGUCUUCUUGUGCGUGUGCGCCUAGAUGUAAUUUUACAGUGUGAAUGCUAUUUAAUUGGUGAAUGGGAAUUGCAAACUGCGGGGGAAUGAAAACUUCAGAAAUAAAUCAAUUAGUCCCACCGAGCAUCGGUUUUCCCUUUGGCAUAUGUAAAUCCUUGUACAAUCAUGCAUUCUGAAUUUUGCAAAUUGUUAAUUGACUCAAGGGGUGCAGGAGAUUAAACGUAUCAUUGGUCUAUUGAUUGCAUGUAUAAGACAGAUGACCCGCUUGCAUUUGCUAAAUAUUGCCCUUGUAUCCGGGCGCUGGGACGCCAUUAACGAAAAUUGGCAACAUCCACUGCCGUUAAUCACAUCACGUCGGCCCGUGCUCGACUCCCUAAUUCACCGUCAGGAUAUCAAGGGUUCCCUCCCCACCGAGUCAGAGAUGAUUGGAGACUAAUGCCUCAAGACAACAUGCGCACACGUGACGUCGUUGCAGUUGGGUUACCCUAUCGAAGAUCGUCAGAGCAGUGGAGAGAUUGGGGCGAAGUACUACACAGGUUGAAAAUGGAAGAAUCGCGUCGAGCGGAGAGGCAUUUUGACAAGCCAAAAUGAUUAGCGUAGAAGGCUGCGGGCGUUUUUUUUUAAUAUUUGCCAUCCCCGGUAUCCUUAGCGUUGGAUUUGGAUCGGCUGGUGGAGAUGAAGUGUAUACAAGGGUACUUCGUGGUUAAGAGUAAAAUAAAAGGUAAUAGUAAAAAGAUGAUAUUAGCCGUGGGUCUUCAACUCGGUGGGUUUGUUCCAUCCAAUAGUACCUCCUUUAAUGUGUAAUAUUCCACCCUUAGGUUAACAUGAUAUCUUUUAUGUGUGUAAUAGAACAUAACUAUUUAUAUAAGGUAGCAUAUAUUAAAAUCUUUUGUUGAAAAUUUAAUAAAUAUAUAUAAAUCAAAACAUGGUGUUUCUCCUUCAGUGUCAAAUCACCUAGCUAAUGACACUGUAUAGUAAAAGCAUAGUAAAAUAAAAUAGUCAUUUUAUCCGUCGCAAGCUUUUAUAUAUUACUAUGCUCGUCGUUCCUAAAUACAAAAUGUUCUAUAUUUUUUCCUAAGUAAAAAGUCUUAAAGUUUGAUGAAUUUAUAGAAAACCAUACCAACCCCUACAACUCUAAAUUAAUCUUAUCAAAUCUUGUAAUGAUUUCGGUGGGAUCUAACACCCACUCUAUCUGAUCUUUGCACACCUACACUAGUUGGAAUAUCACACUUGUGAGAACUCAACACUUUAUUCACUCUCACAGUAUUGAUACACCACUCAUUUUUGUGGCUACCCUACUAUUACACAUACAAUUCAAACAUGAUAACUCGCUUCUUUUCUUGUAUAGUGACACAGUACCUUUUGAUGUGGUAGUGGUGGUAAACCUCAUGGGGAAACACCCCUAUUUAUAGUUGUAUAAUACCAUGUGGUACAUACUAAACAUCAUAUUACAAUCUUCUUAAAUAUUCUACAUGUAUUAUAGUUCUAGAGAGUACAUCCUAAACAUCCUACUACAAUUCUCUAGAAUACUCUACAUGCAUUUUAGUUCUAGAAAAUUCUUGCUUAUUCUGGAAGCUUCUUUAAGACAUCUAAUGCUAGAUAGUACCCCUCUUCAUGUAACCUCUGAAGCCUUCUAAAAUAUUCCAAUCUUAUAAAAGAGAAAAUUACAUGGAACAACCACAUUCGGGGCAACUAUAUAGGAAAACCACAUUUUUUUCUUCUUCAAAUUACCACCGUUUUGGGCUUGGAGGUAUUUCUGCGCACUGAUUCGACAGUUGGGUGCGUUUUGAUGGAAAAACUGACAGGGGGGCCCACCUGUCGGUGCCACCGUGGCUCCACCGAAUCAGUGUGCGGGGACCAACAGGUGGGUCCCUCUGUGAGUUUUUUUUUAUCCAAACGCACUCAACUGCCGAACCAGUGCGCGAGAGUACCUCCAGACCCAAAAGCGGUGGUAAUUUGAAUUUUUUUUAAAGAUGGUUUUCCUAGUAGAGUGCCCCAAAUGUGUUCGUUUUGUGUAAUUUUCUCCUUCUCAAAUUCAUUAGAAGGCUCCUUGUUAAUAUCUUACUUCUCCAACCAAACUAUCCUAAAAUCUUCUCAAAUUAUGUAUUGUCAAACUUGGUCAAAUUUGAAAAUUUGAUUUAGAAGAAAUCUGAAACAACUUAUGUUUUGUGGCAGUUUGAAAUAAUAUUCAUAUAAAUAUUGAAAAUCGAAGAUUGUGCCAUAAAGUCAUGUACCGCUGGGCCUAACCUGUUUUCCACCGCGUCAGCGUUUGCACGUGGCUAUUCCUCAGCUAUCAAUGUAGUUGACCAACCACGAAUCUGCGACUUGACCAAUGGCGACCUACCACCACGCCGGCGGCGGGCCAAACGAGAGACCGUCCACGAAGAAGGCAGAUAAGCCCGGGCCCGAAAAGCAAGGAGCCGCCGCCGCGUGCAGCCAACCACGAGGCGCCACUCCCUGUAAGUAAUUAACCGUGUCGAUCUGUUUCUUCUUCCUUUAAUAAUCCACGGAAUCUGUACACCCGUCUAACUAGUUUUCCUUCCACAUUGAAUUUCUUCUUCUUUCUUCUCUCAAAAGUACUCCACGACGCGUUAAAGGAACGAAGCAACCGCGUUAUCUACGUUCAUCUCUCUCUCUCUCUGACUCUCUCUAUAAGUAGCAGAACAGAUGCUUGACGAUGCUGUACUCCUAUCCAGUCUCCUGUCCAAUCACGCCUUCUUCUUAAUUUCCUGAUUAACUGUCGUUGCUCGUUUUCCACUUUCUACAGACCAGUUCUUGCUAGCUAGCUCUAGCUAGACCUUCCCGCAAUUCGAUCAUGAGCUACCAGCAGGGUACGUAGAGCCACUCUCUCUGAAUUCCAUUUCUGAUUGGGUUCCAUUUUGGCAGUUCGAGUUCUGAACCUUGUUUCUUUUGGUUGUGCAGGAUACCCGCAGCCCGGAACUGCAGCGUACCCUCCGCCGGGCCAGCAGCAGCAGCAGGCCUACGUGGCGGCGCCGCCGCCGGUCGGCUACCCACAGGCGCAGGACCAACAGUCUUACCCUGCUGGCACCGGCGACGAGACCACGAGCCGUGGCCACCACCACCACAGCGGCGGCGGCUUCUGGAGAGGAUGGUAAGCUCCAUUUCUUCUUCUGAAUUCUCACUCUGCACUCUGAACUCUGAAGAGAACUCUAGCAAAUUUAAUUGCUCCCUUUCUGUUUUGUAGCUGUGCGGCGCUGUGCUGCUGCUGCCUCCUCGACGCCUGCUUCUGAUCUGAUCGAGCUUGUCCGAUGCUGCCCGUCCGUCCAUCACGAUCACGGCGACAUCGUGAUGUGUGCUACGUACUGUAGUAGCUAUCUGCAGUUGAUGCCAUUUUAUUUUUUUUAUUUUUCAUGUCUGAUGGCGUUGUAUAUAUUUUAUACGCUUGCCCAUUCAAUAUAUAUGCUUGAAGAGGAUGUGUGAGAUUGAAUGUUUGAGCUUUUUAUGAUGGUUUUCAUGAGCUUUCACCGUAAAACUGGUUUUCACUGGAUACUCCAUCGGACCGUCAUCAAUACACCUAACAUUAGAUACACAAGUUACUCUCUAGAACGUUAUAACAAGAUAUGUUGUGCAUAACAACAUCAUGAUCUUGUACCCUAAAUUGGAAUAUUUAUUAAUGGUCAUAAAUGGGACAUACUAGUUGCGGGGUACAUAUUAAUAUAUUACCGAAAAGCAAGUUUCCCCCUUACCAAUCUACUUAGGUGAUGAGUAAACUACAUAGAAACUUUAUUGCACAUGGAUUAAUUCCCUUUCUCUUAGAUAUGGUUAUUAAUAAGAUAAGAAACAAGGGAUAAGAGUAGAGCCAAAUGAGCUUUUUUUUACUCAACCAAUCAAAGUUGCACAACAUUACAAGGCAAAAGAAUUUGAUAAUACACCGGAUAAACUGAUUUUAUAUUAAAAAAACGUCAUUUUAAUAUGAGAUGUAGCAAAACAAACAAUAACUAAUAAUCAAAAUUUUAGACAGCAAAUAAGUAUAUUUAUAAUAGUUUAUGUAUACUAUGAGUAUGAGAUACAAAUCUGAUUAAAUAUUUAUAAUAGUUGAUGAUUUCUCUACAUAGAAUGUAAAAUAUGUUGAAUAUUAAUAGUAAUUAUAUUGUCUUUCUAAUUUGUUUUUUCUAAAUAUGUUGAAUAUAUAUAGUAAUUAUAAUUUCGCUACUGUAAUCAUCACCAUAUGCGCUCUGCCGGGGGAUUACCGCAGAGAAAUUGCGGUGACUACAUCGCACUGUGCUGCCGAGGAAGCUUUGAUUGUGUUAUUUCCGACCAUAAUUCUCAUGGUUGCGCCGCCGAUGAUGAUCUUGGCGUGCCAGCUAUGGCGAUCUCACUACGUUCUUUCCUCACUUUCUUUUGGAAAAAGAUUCACUUCCUAUUUUAUUUAGAGUUCUUGUAUACCAACAACAAUUUAGAAUUUUGAUUUAACCCAAAAUUUUACGAUCUUAAUUGCAUCCGAAUGUUAUUAUAUUCAUCAAAUGUGUUGUGGUAGCAACAUGUAGUUCUAAAUAAGACUUUGAAUUUUAAAUUAUUGAGUGUAUUUGAGAUAAGAAACCAUAUAAUUCCAAAAUAUUUUUUACUUAUUUCUGAUGUCAAGAGAAAAAAUAACCUUUUUUUUGGGAUAAAAGAGAUGCUGCAUAUAUACUUGCUGGAGAACCACAAUAUGUAUUUGUCAUCUAUCCAAUUCAAAUAACACCAACUUCAGUGCAUUGCACGAGUUCCUUUUGGCGCACCAUCUAUUUUACUGUUGUUAUCUUCAUUCAUUCAUUCAUGUUAGGCAGCUAAGGAGCAACCUCAUUGUUAAUACAGAGUCCAGACAUCGUUUACAAGACCCAUCACGGAUAAUGAAGUUUAGGACCACCGCCAGGGUUGAUCUAGUCUCCCAAGAGCGCAGGGCAUCUAGUAUCAGUCACAUGUUAAUGAAGACUUCCAUUAUCGGAAAAAGAAAAACCUAGUGCCGGUCACAUAUCAAUAAAGGUUCUCAUUAUGGGGAAAACAAAACUAGUGCCAAUCACUUGUGUUGUGUACUGCCGACGAUGCGCUUCACCAAUGUAUUAUUCAGUUCCGUUUGUAACUCACAAGUUUAUUUGGGUGCUUCAAGCGAACAGAUGGAAACAAGAUGCCGAAAACUGCCGACAAAGCUGUAAGAAGGUGGCUCCUCCUGUAGCAUGGUCCUCAAAGUGUACAGGGAUAAUUGAGUCCCACAAACUUUAACAGCCUUGUACAGCCAGCAGGCAGCCUCCUUCCCGUCUUCAAAUUUCACGAAUGAUAACGAAGCAAAUCGGCUAAUUCGUUAGGAUAUCAUGCGUAGCUACACACUGGAUGUAUCACCAAAAUAAUGAAUCAAACAUACUGGACUGAACCUAACUGUGAACCAAACCGGGCAAAUGCAUUUACAGCAAUCAAAAUGUAAUGUUAGUUAAUCGGAUGAGCUCCUUAACCACCUUGAAGCAAAAAUGACAUCCACUUACUACUAGCUGUAAUCUUGGAACGUACAAGGGGAAAUAAUGAUCCGAAACUACAGGAACUAGACAGUGUUAUAUUUCCACUCCAUUCACAUGUAGUUUUGAAAUGGCAAAUGACUAUACAACACCUUGCAUACCGACGAAAAUACUGCGGUACUUACCUCUUUAUAAUAUAUACACGUGGUAUAGCACGUACUCCAAUUUUAUAUAUCAAACUUCUGGACUGUAAAAGUUCAAACCAAAGUUACCUCCAGCGCAUUUUCAAACUAAAUUAAGCAUCCAAGUGAUCUGACCCGCUCACCCUCUGUCCUCUCUCGCACAGAUGCACGCUUUCUGAUUCACCAUCGCAGGAGAAAGGAGGAAAAGCGAUGGAAUUGUGUCCAACAAGAUGGCACUUUAAAUAAAGUUAGCUAGCAACCAAUCAUUUGGGAAGCUUUGAAGAAGAUACUGUUGGAUAAAUGUAGUAGUAACGAAGAUGUAGUUUAUGGGAAGAAUCAUGUUGGCACAAGGCGAGAAUAAUUCUCUGUGUCCGAUACAAGCUUCCUAAGCUUUGAGUGUCAGGUUCAGGAAAGAAUCCCUCGGUCCAGGAAAGCUCCCUAGCAAAAUGUUUGGGUUACAAUCAUUUUGAACAACAUGAGAAACGAACAAGACAAAGGAACUUGUGAUUGCCAGACCUCACACGUAUUGUCCAGCUUAUCAAAAUCAAAAGCAGUGAUGCCACGUCCUACCCUGGCGUGCUCUCUCCUAUUCAGGAUUCCGCCCCGGAAUGCUAGCUUCUUGGACCUUUGAUUUCUUGAUAGACAGCUCCCAGGCUUGAGAGGCCUGCCUCCUCCUUCUGAAUAGCUGCAACUAUAUGAGUACAUAGCUGCACUGUGCUGGGUGCAUUAGCUGAAGAAGUUACAAGCAUAGUAGCACUUGCAGUUUGCAGACAUAAGCAGCAAGGAUGCCUAUCCAAGAGAAGGUGACAAUGAUGACCGAGAGACUCAAGGCCGAUUUCUCCAAGAAUGAAACCAAGAUCCAUAGGUUUCCACAAGGGCUACGCAUCGGCUGCCAAGCUGACCGAUACAUCGCCCCUAGUGUCGUUGCCCUUGGUCCAUACCACCAUGGGCAACCCCAACUGCAACAGAUGGAGGAGGUGAAGCACGCGGCAGCCCACUACCUGUGCAACAAGUCCGGGCACCCAAUUGAGGAAGUCUACAGCAAGAUCCUCUCGUUUGUCGGUGAGGCCCGAAGCUGCUACACCGACGACCCGGUCGCAAAAUUCAGCGAUGCUGACUUUGCGGUAAUGAUGUUCCUCGAUGGCUGCUUCCUGCUAUACUACAUAUCUACGGAUGUGGAGAAGGAAUGCACUCUGUUGGCAAACCGGGUGUGUCUCUCCACAGGGCCAUGUCUUCUCAGGGACAUAUUCCUUCUGGAAAACCAGCUCCCUUGGCUGGUGCUCCACGUUCUCAUGACCUUUUUUACCUAUGUUGCUCCCCUAGUGCCCCCAUUUAUUGAAGACAUGGCGUCGUAUUUCAACAUCAGCUCGCAUUCAGAGAAGACAAAGCCUCCUGUCACCCUCGAGGGGCCGCACAAGCCGCCACAUCUCCUUGGACUCCUCCAUCACUAUGAGGUAGGCAGCCCGGAGCCUGGCAAAGUGGAGGAGAACUUUGGUGACGAAUACCCUUCGCCUACUAGUGCGAUCGAGCUUGCGGAAAUCGGCAUCAAGCUGACGGGCGCCAGCAACAAGGCAUGGCUGGUGAACAUGAGCCACCGAAGACGUGUCUUCGGUCAGCUCUCCCUGAGGCCACUGUUCCUGAACGACAUCACUGCUUGCUGGCUCGUCAACAUGGCAGCGUUCGAGACGUGCACGUCCACCAGCUAUCCUAAAGAUGGCUUCGUUGUCUGCUCGUACCUCUGCAUCCUUGGAAUGCUCGUCGACAAGGAGGAUGACGUGCAUGAGCUGCGAGCUAAGCAUAUCGUGCGCAGCCUCUUCAGCAACAAGGAGCUGCUGGUCUUCCUCAAGGGCCUCGCUCAUCACCUGCGCCCUGGCCACCACUACUUCGUCAUCUUGUCGAAGAUUGGGGUGUACAAGCGUCACAGGAGCGUGCGCAUCCUGGUGUACAAGUUCUUCUACAACCACUACAAGACCAUCGUUGCCUUGAUCUCUCUUGUUAGUGUGCUCGUGGGCAUCUUCCAAACCCUUGCAAGUCUCAAACAACCAGCUCAGCCAAAAUAGGUUCUGUGGAGUUUUGUUGGUUCAUCUUUUCGAUCUGCUAUCCGGUGUGAUGUUGUACUGUCAAUGAUCCAGAAUUAAUUGUGUCUCUUGCACUUGUAUAGUUCGCGUAUGAGUGUGGUGUGUCGUGUGUCUCUUUUGAUUUUUUUCUGAUUAUUGAGUGUCCGUCCAGAACAAACUCCAUAUAUGCAAUCCUACUCCAGUAUUUAUCUGUAUUGUUCGUAAUGACAUAUGCACUUUCCAGGCUGCUAACAGAGUCAGUGUGAUAGCCAAAACAUUGUGCUGACCUCAUGAAAUAUCUAAAUGGCCAGACAUAAGGUCCUAGCAUACAAAAUCGCCAUUCUCCCAAUAAUAUGCAUAUUGUAGUUCUGGGCUUCUGCCCAACUAAAUAUGCACUUGUACAACCUCACUGAACAUGUGUUAAACCUUGCAAGGAUGGUGGGCAAAGAACUAUAAUUUACCUUUUGUUGAUGUUACAAUAAAUACCGAGAAUUCCCCAAGAGAGCCCUUGAUCCAGAACUGCAGUAGAACACUCAUGUUUCAGUUUCAGUUUCAGUUAUUAUCAAAACAAAGGCACGGACACCAGGACCUGGACUGAAACCGCCAUGCCUCCAUGAUGGCGUUCUCCCUAAGUGUGUCUGCUCAAUCUGUCCAGGGCUGAAACCACCUCUCCUCCACAAAGGACAGGUUGGCAAACACAGAAUGAAAGUUCUCUAUCCGAAGUCUCCAAGAACUCAGUUUGCUGCCAUGAUGGAACCUUUGCAAAAACAGUCGACCACCUUGUAUAGCUGGCCUUCCACUAAUCCAUGGUAACCAUUUGCUGAAAGAACAAUUGUGAGUACUAUUGAUUACAUCCAGUCCGGGGCUAAAUCCACUUCACCACCAUGGUAGUAUUUUGCUGAACAACUGCGACAUCUUGAAAUUCUAUUGUAAUGGCGUGCUGUCAUGCGUCACAUCAGCGAAAAACAAGUGAUUAUACCCCUGAGUAGAGUCGGCCACUGACGUGUAACCGUAUCACCGCCCUUCUCCACAAGCCAUUUCCGGAUCAAGCUCCAGGAACAUUGACAAGGCACAGACGUGAGUAAGCACAUGAUUAGGAGUCUCUUCAUCCCGUACAUGUGUCCUUGAGAGGUACUGCAUGUGACAUCUUACUUGUGUCGCCGCCAAUUUGAACUGCAAUGACAGAUGGCAUAGGGCUAAGGUUGACAGUGCUAUCCAGCAAAGCAGAGGCCGGGGAAGAACUAUGAUCCAUAGGAAGAUUCCAGAGUCGCUUCCCGCACUAACGCAGAUUUCUGCAGUUCAGUAUCCUUAUGGAAGCAUUUCGUCGAACAGGUGGCGGGCGUCGGCAUGGUCAGCUCGAAGACAGCAGAAGUAGCGCUCACAAGGUCGAGGUACACUCCGAGGAAACUUGAUGAACACUCCAAGACAUGACCCGCGGAAGCUGCAGCCCCAGCAUCAGCAUGGUUGCUGCCGGCGUCGAAGCCCAGGCCAAGUGUGGAAGUCCGUGGCCGGUGGGCGGCGCGGUGUCUCUCCAUGCCCAUCCCGGAGGCCAGCGGUUUGAGCCAAGGUCGCAGCAGGUCGGCUCCACCACCGUCGUGCCAUGGACUCGUCGUUGAUUCUUUCCUUCCCCCUCCACCCGCACAAGAGGCAACAGGUCAAGGUUCUCCUUGAUUGAAGCUAACGGCGCAGCCUCUCACCCACCAUGCACCUCCCCUGCCGCUGCGCGCCAGGUCAAAGAAAUCCCGCCCAAUCGAUACGAAUCUGAUACCAUAUAUGUGUUGAAAACCCGGCGGAGAGGAGGAGAAAUUAGAUAUAGAGAAUAAGGAUAUCCGAGGAAGAAAGAGCAUAGGCAGGAGGCGAUUUCAUUCGUUUCACCGAUGCCUUUUUUUAGUUUUUUUUCUCUCUCACGAGAACCCGAUGCCCAUUUUUGACAUUAUCGUCAUCUUGUGUCAGUGUCGCCGGUAGAUGGACGAAAGUUUCAAGUGUCCGCGACACACCACAUAUUAUCAAGGGUUAAUUGGGUCUAUUUCAUUAUAAUUUUUACCGGUCUUGAUUUGGAAAAAUGCCACUCUAACUUUCUUAUACGUCUAGCCAUGCCAUUUUGUCCAAUACCAUCAUGUAUACUGUCUAAAUACGUAUAUACAUAGUUUUAUACGAACAGUUUUUUUUCCAUCCCAAGUCAAACAGUUCUAUUUCUCUUGCUCUUAUUAUCCCCCACGCGCUCCUCUAUCCUGACCCUAACGAACCCUAAAAAAAGUGGAGGCAUGUGCCGUUGUACACGCUGAAAUACAUGUAUUUUAUGAACAGUAAUUGGUUUUAAGCGGACAGAAUGACAUAGUUAGAGAUAUAAAAAAGUUAGAGAGGCAUUUCUCCAAAUCAAAUUUUUGUAAUGUCGUAUUUUCAACCGAUGGAAUAAAUAGUAGCAUAAAUCCAAUUAACCAUAAAAAAAAUCGUCCAAACGGACCCUUUUCAAUCACCGCCGACCCGCAAAGAAAAACCCAACACACGGCGCGCGUAACUCAAUUCAGCAUACUACCAGUAGCAUCUUGCCGACGUGCCGUACCGUGCCGUGGCGUCGAGGGCGCUUGCUGGCCCGUGUCCUCUGUUUCUCAUCCACCAACGGCGGCCGCCCGCGCUAGCUAAAGGGCACGAAACCGAAUCAAUGCGGCAUCUGGCAAGCAAAUGCAAGCACACGUACAGCAGCCUAGCUUGUCGGCUCCCUUUCCUUUCGCAAUCUCUUCCUUCUUCCUCUUCUUUCCUUGACGCGUCUUCAGCAAUCGCGUUCAGCCUCCCUAUAAAUGUACAUCGUCACACGCUCAUUACAUUACACACUUCAAGCAAAGCAAAGGAAGCCGCUUCUUCCUCCUCCUCCUCACAUCUUAUUCAGUUAUUCGUCAGGAAGAAGAAGAAGAAGAAAAAAGAGUGCUAUAUUCCUCUCUGCAGAGUUAGUUCCAGCGGUUCGACGGCCAUGAGCUACCAGCAGGGUACGUGCUACUCUGUUUCUGAAGCAACCGCAGGCUGCGCCAAGAUCUGCAAUUCUUCGAGUUCGAUGUUAAUUAAUGUUUCUUUUGGUUUGUGCAGGAUACCCGCCCCAGGGCCACCAGCAGCAGCAGCAGGAGGCCUACGUGGCGCCGCCGCCGCCGCCGGCCGGCUACCCAAUGGAGAAGGACGACCAGCUGCAGCAGUCGUACCCCGCCGGCGCCGGAGCCGAAACCACGACCCGCGGCCACCACCACCACCACCACCACCAUGGCGGUCACCACGGCAACGGCGGAGGCGGCGGCGGCUUCCUGAGAGGAUGGUGAGCUAGCUAUUCUUCUUUUUCCAUUAAUUCUGAAUCCACACCCUGUAUUCUCCAGGCAUCAGGAUCCCCUGACAUUGUUUGCUUCUUUUUUUGUUGCAGCUGCGCUGCGCUCUGCUGCUGCUGCCUCCUCGACGCCUGCUUCUGAGUUCCGAGAUUGCGUCCAUCGCGAUCCUGGCAUGCAUGAUGAGUAGCUUAGCUACGCGCCUAUGUGCAGUGCAGUUAUCUUGAUCAUUUGUUUGUGGGUUACUUCUCUAUGUAUCGAGGGAGUGUGUAUACUAGUAGCUCAGCACAUUUUGUUAUGUGUGAUGGUGGUGGUGGUAUUUUUUUUUUCCCGUUCUGUAUGAUUCGAAAUGGACGUACGUGUGCGACUCAUCCGGUGGCUUAUUCGCCUUGCUCGCCACUUCCCUUGUUGAAUUCAAGAUGAUGGUGCCUUUGUUGUGAAUACAGAAUUUGUGAAAUCUUUAGAUCUCUGUGUUCUUCUCUGUUAAUUUUUGAAAGCCCCAGAUCUGUGUUGGAAUGGAAGUUUUUCGAAUUUCUAUAAGUUACUACCUGUUGACCUCCGAUUUAAAAUAAGUGUCGCAAAUUUGAACUAUGCUUAGUUCAAAACUGAGACACUUAUUUUAGAUCGGAGGGUGUACGUAUUCUAGAUUCUUAAAAUUUGAAAUUUUAUCAACAAGUUGGUUUCAAAUUUGAAAGUUCAACAAAAAUUUACUAAAAGUUCUUUUUGAUUUUUGGGAGUAGAUCUGAUAAUCUGAUAGUUCUUUUGAAAACAAAAAAUUGAAAGUUGCAGCCUUGAAUUUCUUCUAAAAAUUUGAAGGUUGGGUAAAAUGGAAGUUGAGAAAACAAACACUGAAAACUGAACAAAUUAGAAGUUGAAAAACCAAACAGUACUUUCAGGAAAAAGUGAAAGUCAAAAAUUGAAAUGUCUUAAAAAUGUAUAUGUUUCUUUGCGAAUUUUGAAAGUUUUGGUAUUUCAAAAAAACAUUUGCUCUCUGAUAGACAGAUUUUAAGUCGACACAAUAAUUGCUCACUGAAAGCUUGCGGGAGAAGGACGUAGGCCUAGAAAUGGGAAAAGAGGACAACAUGUAUGUCCCAAAAAAGGAAAAUAGUCUAGCCCAGUCGGAAAGCGACCACAGAGGAUACUUGUUGCGGUCGUAUUCCCCCUCCCCAUCCCUGAGAGAAACGGGUUUAGCUGACAAGGAAUCAUGUCUUUUUAAUUCUAAUUUUGUUAAUCCCAAUAAACCUGUAAGCCUCAAAUUAGGAGAUAUAGCUCCGUCCACUAUCUUUGAUUACCUUAAAAAAAUUGAAUUCAAAAUUUGAUUAAAAUAUCUCGUCAAGUGAAUAUCCGGUAUUUUUCGAUUUCCUGGUUGCCGCAAUCCACCCCCAUAUCCCUUUCUAGGAAAAAGGGUAUUUGGUACUCCGUAUCAAAAACCUUGAAUGGAACAAUUAUGCUACAUCCAAGUCGUUUGAUUUUUAGUUAGGGCUCAGUCAAUUUUUCAGCCGUUGGAUUUGGUUUUUGUGUUUUGAUAUUCAGAACAAACGACGGAGAAUUGGGAGUAAGGAUGGCAUCUAGAUACUAAUCUGACUAUUCUGGUACGUCGAUUAAGAUUUAAGACUUUUGUUUAAAAAUCAAGACAACUAAGUCUCCACUAGAUUAGUGCUGCACUAAGACAAGAAAACAUGGAGUCCGUCAGAAAACCUUUAUUACUUACAAGUUACGACGACUUCUUUACCGCUAUGCUGCCGCCACCGUCGCCAUGACCUCGCAAAAGAGUAUCUCUUUUUUGGGGUCGCAAAAGAGUACAAUUCAUCGGUGCCCGUCUGAAAAGAAAACCCCAACGCGGAUGAGAACCACGUCGAAGAAAUAGAUGGCUUAGGGUAUACCAAUUGAUUGUGAGACGGUAAUGGUGUCGAUUCCGAGAUUUCGUGACUCCUGUCUUUUGUGCUAAGGUUAAUCCUCGUUAUCCUUGAUCAUCAUGUUAGGUUUGACCGUUGACUUUAGAGAAGCAAAAAACCAAAAGCAACCCGUUGCCACUUGUCCACUCAAGAGACGACACGAGCCAUAUAUCCACGCGCCGACAACGAGAGCCCAUGGGCUGGAUCAAGGCAACGCGGAUAAGCAAUCUUUUGCCGCGUCGGCAAUCAGCGACUCAGCGUAGCGUCCGUGUGUAGUACAGAGAAAAAUCCUCUACUAUAAAAUAGACACCAGACGCUCAAGUUCUCAACGCAGUCCUGCUCCUCCAUCCCCGUUUUCAGAGAAUCUUGAUCCAAAGACAUCACAGUAGUUCUGUUCCGCACGAUCUUCUGCACAGAGUAAUUAGUCUCGAUCGACCAUGAGUUACCAGCAAGGUUCUUCCCCCGCAGGCGCAGCAGGAUACCCGGCUGCACGCCAGCAGCAGCAGCAGCAAGCCUACGUGGCGCCGCCGCCGCCGCCCGGCUACCCACAGGUGCAGGACGAGCAGCAGCAGUACCCAGCCGGCGCCGGCGCCGGCGCCGAGACCACCAGCCGCGGCCAUCACCAUCACCACCACGGCGGCGGCGGCGGCUUCUGGAAAGGAUGGUAAGCUCUACUUCUUCUUAUUCUGAAUUCUCUCCACUCUGCACUCUGAUUCUUUGAACAGCAAAGUUUAAUUGCUUCCUUUUUGUUGCUGCAGCUGCGCGGCGCUCUGCUGCUGCUGCCUCCUCGACGCCUGCUUCUGAUUUGAUCGAGCUUGUCCGAUGCUCGUCUCGUGAUCAUGGAGCGCUUACAUUACAUUACAUACACGCGCUCUGAUCACUGGGCUGAGCAGGGAGGAGGUGUUCAUCAUGCACGGUUGAUUGAUUUGCUUUCGAGCCUGGAAUGCCCAUGCCGUGUACCUGAUCAUUCUUUUUUUUUCUCCUCUCUGGUGGCGUGUUCUGCUCUUGUUGCAUGGUUUCUUCCUUGUGUAUUGUAAAGUUUGUUGCUGCUUAAGCAACAUUUUGUAUGUAUGCGCAUGUAUGUUAUGUACUUCCUCCUUGUCAUGUAUGUUAAGUUGUGCUAAACCCGUGUCAAUAAAUAUGGAACAGAGGGAGGGAGUAUACUUUUCACGCGAUCUUUUGUGCGUCAUGUACUCCCUCCGUCCCAUAUUAAGUGCUGAAAUAUGUAUGUAUCUAAACGUUUUUUGGAUAUAGAUACAUGCAUAUUUGAAUAAAUUUAAGUCACUUAAUAUGAAGCAGAGUGAUUAUAUUUUCGUAUAAUAUAUGGACAGUUAAAUCACAUUUUGAAUUAUACUAUAUGGCCGUUGAAUGUGUUGCUGGAUGCGACGCUGCACCCGGCCCAAUUCAAGCUCUACAUUAAACUGCAUAACAUAAAUCUUACUACAUUCUGUGACAUAACACCAGAAUUAGAUGAUCUGGUCACCAACAUGGCAAAAGACUAAGGUUUCGACUGUUAGAUGAUAUGAUCUGCCAUUGACUUCGAUGAUACCCUCGCCAGCUUCAUGGCUCGGAUUGGUCAUUGCCUUGGCCUCCACUUCCAGAGACUCCGGAAGGUUGAUUUUCAGCCACUGCUCGACAAGAUUAGGUGCCGGCUGGCUGGAUGGAAGUGCAAGAACUUGCUGAGUCAUCACCAUGGCGAAAUCCAUCCUAUCUCUCUAUCAAGAGCAGGCCACCUAACACACCAAAGCUCCAAAAAGUCCGAAUCAAACUCAAAAGCAAGAGACCAAUUAACUGGCCUAACCAGCAACAGAUAAACACAGGACUUCAAAUAUGAGAGGGGAUACAGGACCAACACAAUUUUCCAUCUGAAUCUUCAGUGGUCAUGCAUAGUACGCUUUGUAUUCAGAGUUGUUGACAUGUCGCCGUUACCAGGAUCUGAUUGUCUGAAAUCUCAACUUGCCUCAGAGUGCAUGGCUGCGUCGUCAAUACCCUGAUGAGACAUUCUUCUGCUUGAUGUACUUCCAUCUCAAUCAUAUGAAGUCAUCACUCACCAACAGGACUCAAUACAUACAAAAGAAUUCUACAUCUUUGCCACGCUGAGUCGUUGCAUCUCACUGGGGGCGCCCAUGUUCGUGUUCAUGUUGAUAUCUGAGUUAGUGGUCUUUCCUCCACCGAGAUUGCUCCGUUGUUUGCUACUGAAUCAUUUAAUUGCCACCCAUUCUAUGUGUUACAUAUCACGAUUUUUUGAUUAUGUUUGAUUAUGUUUUGAGGUAAUUGCUUUUUCAAAGAAAUAUUCAGAGAGAAUUCUUAUUUAGUAAAAAAUUGAAGAACAUUUAAACAACUCAAGCACAAUUAUAUUUUUAAUUCCGCGCAUUUACCUAGUUUUAAAAAAUAACUGUCUGAUUUUUCUAAUGGCAAAUGUGUGGAAACUUCAAUUUUCUGAAGAAUAUGUGGCGGACUGCCAUUCCAUCCAUUAUGUUUCAACCUUUUUUUUAUGGAAAGUUUCAACCUUCGUUCCGAUGCAAAACAUGUGUUAUUUGAUGCAAAAUGGUGAAGAAUACUGCAAAAUGCAGCACCAAAUUCUUCUCAAAGUUUUUAAUCUAUUUCUUGUCUUCGCACAAAAGUGAAACAUGGAAGCUAUUAUAAAAGAAAAACAUGUAAAAAUUGGAUUCAAUAGCAUGUUUUGUUUAAUCUUAUUAUCCUAUAUGAUUGCAUACCACACGAACUUUCACGGAAUCACCAAAAGACCUUUCAUUGCACCAUAGGAAAACCAUUCCUUUUUGCAAGUUGUUUGUGCCAAUGGAAAAUUUUCUACUCCCUCCGUCCAACAAAAGAUGUCUCAAGUUUGUUAAAAUUUGAAUGUAUCUAGACAUGACUUAGUGUAUAGAUGCAUUCAAAAUUAGUCAAAGUUGAGACAUCUUUUAUUGGACGGAGGGAGUACAAAAUAUAUUGAGGCACACUUACGAAAAAAAAUACUAAUUACAAUCGUACAAGUCAAACAAGAACCAAACAACCCGCAUAGUAAAAGUUCCAAGGAUUACAGUCUCCUUUUGUUUCCAAAAAAUCCUUUGAAACAAAGAGGCCAGUCGUCUUCAUGUUUAUGAAAGAAAAACACACCAGUCUUUUUCAACUGAGCAGAAAAAUUAAUAAAAUAUGAGUACAUCCAUUCCAGUUAUCACAACGAAAUGAGGAACGAUGUUCAGAAGUACAGGAUCCGGGUUGUGAUCUCAAACCAGAAUCAGCAGGGCACAAGCAUUCACCUCGCCCCACCGAUCUCACCGCUAGAACAAGCCGACAGAGCCAGCGGGGAGGUGUCCCUGUGGAGCCCGGGCUUGUUGCUUGAGCUCGAAGGUGCACUGACUCGGCUUCCUGAAGACUGUUGAACUGAAUACCCGGAAGAAGAGUAGCCAGUGCUCGAGAUCUUGAGCUGCCAAUCAGGGACGUAUCUAGGCCUCAUAGCUGUAUCCACGUCGGUCAUCUCGAUAUCUUCUGUGAGCAUGGACACGACCUUCGACAUCUGCGGGCGUUGCUGUGGCAUGCCCAUCGUGCAAAGAAGAGCAACAUUGAUAACUCGCGCUGCCUCUUGCUCAUCAAAUUCUGCAAGUCUAGCAUCUAGCAGUUCAAGUGUCUGUUUGCUCUCGUGUAGACGCCAGACCUGCAAGCCAAAGUUAGGUUAAUAAAGUUAAGCUGAGUUUGGUAUUGAGGUGGAUUUUGUCUGAAGGCCAAAUCAGUUUCUCCAUUGAUUGACUAGAAACAUAUACAAGAGCUUACAUGGGCCUUGGGCCUGACUAGACUAUAGGAAAAUAUAAAGCUAAAUACAUACAAAGGAAAUACUCUAAUACUCUUAAUAACACACACACACACAACUCAAGGUGGAUCUGAAACAUUGAGUUUGAGAAUAUGGAGUUUGUGUUGUUCUCUAGUUUGAGCUUUGUUGAAGAAAUCUGCCACCUGAAGCUCCGAUGGACAUAUUGGAGACCGAUGUGUUUGGUUAGCUCAUGUUUGACAGGAUCAUUAGCAAUCUGAAUCGCUGCAGUGCUGUCACCAUGGUUUUUAAAGCGUCCAGGCGCUCUAAGGCGUCGGGGAGGGGGCUCAACGCCUAGGCGCUCAAAGGGCGGCGAGGCGACGCCUUAGUCAUUUUUGCAAUGCGCUGGGGGAACUGUUGAAUAUGGCCCAUGCUGGCCCAACUGAACAAAGGGUUUUCUUCCUUCUCCCUCUCCCGUGCUCCCCACGCACUGCAGCCGCCACGCCACAGACCACCAAAUCCAUGAGCACUCAAGGGAGGGACGGUGGAGCAAGAUCUUGGCCGGAGAGGGGAAGGGCCCGCGGAGGAGGAUGGGAUCUGGCGGGAGCUCCUCUCUCUCUUUUCCCUCGAUUUAUACCACUGCUGUGUUUCCCUCUCUCUCCCCACUCUGUUUGCCCCCCAAUUUCUCCCGCCGAUUUCUGUUUCCCGCUCGACCUUCUAUCGACAGCGUCCAGAAACGAGCGAAGCGGCGAUUUCAGCGCCUAGGCGACGCCCCUGGACGCUUUAGUUCGAAUUCUAAGGCGAGAACGACGCCUUGACGUCGCUGGGCGCUUCGACGCCUAGGCGACGCUUUGAAAACCAUGGCUGUCACAAAGAAGUGAUGUUGGUGCAUCACAUGAAACACCAAGAUCAGCCAGUAACCAACGAAGCCAAAGGAUCUCUGAUUUAGUCCCAAAGUCCAACACCCAAGGAGCGCUAACACUUGACACAGAACAUGAUGAAGCAUGACUACUAAUAGAUCCAUUCAACGAUGCUUGCAACUGAUUCAAUUGGGUCUGAGGAUUGCUAAGUUGGUUCUGAAACUGAGUCAAUUGAGUUGCAAAACAUUGCAAACUGAUGGGGGCUGAAAUGGGAACAACAACAUCAGCUCUAUGACACAAGGAAGGACAAGGACCAAGCAGACCGUCAGAAUUCAUGAUGUGCAGCCAGUAAUGAAAAAUGCGGACCGACACGGCAGCACCAGUAGCCAACUUCUUAUCCAAACAAAUCAGCCCACAAGUAAAGACCUGCUUCUCUGCUCGUAACCAGCACACAUACUGCAGGAACGAGCUCACUCCAAUUCUGCAGCAAUCAAAGGCAAACAGCAGCACAUAAUCUACCUUAUACUUGUGUAGGAACAGAUCAAACUGCAGGAAAUCCUACCCCUCCUGUAUCUGCCACACAAGAAUUGGAAGGAUGUACAGAACAGAGCAGGCCAACAGCAGGAAGAGGAAGCCAGUGGAGACGGAGGUUCAGCAAAACAGCAGCAAACCAAUCGGAGGCAGGGGAGACGGAGACGACCAAGUCCGACCUGGACUCAAGCGGUCGAGGAAACAGCAGCCGGCAUGGCGGUGGCCAACGGGACUAGAAACGAGGUCGGCGGCGUGACGGGAGACGGCAGCCAGCAACUCGCCGGCGGAUGCAGCGGCGGCAGACAUGAAGGGGAAGCUACGGAGAUGGCCUAACGCUCUGCUACCAUGUCUGAAGGCCAAAUCAGUUUCUCCAUUGAUUGACUAGAAACAUAUACAAGAGAUUACAUGGGCCUUGGGCCUGACUAGACUAUAGGAAAAUAUAAAGCAUAAAUGCAUACAAAGGAAAUACUCUAAUACUCUUAACAGAUUUGAUGAUGUAGUUUUUUCAACCAGCUUUUGCCUAGGCUAACAAUUUUUUUUCCUACUUUAUGUGUAUUUUUUCACAGUAUAAAAUAAGUUCAGCAACCGUAGACUGAGCCUUAGUACACUACACAAAUAAUACUCCCUCCGUUCCUAAAUACUUGUCGUGGUUUUAGCGCAAAUUUGUACUAAAACCAUGACAAGUAUUUAGAAACGGAGGGAGUAGAAGAUAAUUUUUGUUUAAGUCAGAUACGUAUAGCAAAACUCACCCAUCCAAGAAGAUAUUUCUCAUCUUCCUCAAGACUGUCAUCGAAAUUCAGCCGUCCAGCAAUGAUCUCCAACACCACGAUGCCAAAUGCGAAAACAUCAGCCUUUUCUGUCAGGUGGCCCAUCAUGGCAUACUCAGGCGCGAGAUAACCACUAGAACCAUAGCAUGGUAAGUGUCUGAUUAAAUUUUAGUUAUGAAGGUGCACAAGACUAAUUAAGAAGGUCAGGAGAUGUUCUUACAGUGUGCCAGCAACUCCUGUGCUAACAUGAGUCAUGCUGUCCUUGUAAUGCCUAGCCAGCCCGAAGUCAGAGAUCUUAGGGUUGAGAUCAGCAUCCAACAACACAUUGCUGGCUUUGAUGUCCCUGUGCACUAUACGCAUGCUGGACUCCUCAUGGAGAUAUGCUAGACCCCUUGCAAUGCCUACACAUAUCUCAAAACGUGUUCUCCAGUCGAGGUUCAGUUCCGUCUUGCCUGCAUUUUCACCGAAGCUUUAGACACCUGGAAAGUUAUAAUGGUGCCAGUUGAGGUGGCUAAUGACAACUUGAAGUACCGAAGAUUGCUCGAUCGAGGCUCCCAUUUUCCAGGUACUCGUACACCAAAAGUGGUGCCUUACUGCCAAUGCAACAACCGUGCAACUUCACAAGGUUUCGGUGCUGAACUGCAGAUAUGGUGGCAAUUUCUGUCAUGAACUCCUUUUUCCCUUGAUGAGAUGUAGGAGACAGCUGUUUUACAGCUACCAUUCUCCCAUCAUGUAGCUCACCCUAUACGCAAAAGAUACAGCUCGUGAUUUCAGCAUGAAACAAGUAUAUACUAUAUUUAGUAGAUCAUGAACAGUACAAAUCUUCAAUGAAUUUUAGAACCAAACAAGCAUAAUUGAUACUCCCUCCGUUCCAUAAUUCUUGUCGAAAUCUUACAUGUAUCUAGACACUUUUUAGGAACAGAUACAUCCAUUUUUGGGCAAAUUUGAGACAAGAAUUAUGGAACGGAGGGAGUAUAAGUUCAAAAAUUCUUAGGGAGUAUAAGUUAAAAAAUUCAACUGGAACUGGAACUGACCAUGUAAACAAGUCCAUAUCCCCCUUUUCCGAGAAUGUUACUAGGACUAAAAUUUCCGGUAGCUGAUUUUAUUUCACCAUAACUGAAGACGUUAGGCCGCCCAACUAUACUGAACAGCUCUAUAAAACACCACAUCAAUAAAACAAGAAGGAAGCACCUGUCAAUUUCUCCCCAUGAUUACCCCAACAAUGUUAGUGUUUGUGUUACCUUCCAUUUCCACCUCUAACCUCCUCCUUUUCUGUCUCCAGGCAAAAGUCCCCACGAGUGCCAGAAGGCCUAAAACUGCAACACAAACUCCAACUCCAACAACCAAACCUGUUUUACUGGCUGUGCUGUUUUUCUGUGGACCAGGAUCCCCUUCAUUAUUGCUACCUACAGUAGGAGUAAGAUAGAAAAUAGAGUUUAUAAGAUGAUUUAUGGGACUAAUUGAAUUGUGAUAAGCAUAAGUAACAAUACCAUAAGAAGAUACACUUAAUGCUGAGAUAGCUGGCCCGUAGUGCCCCUGCUUAGGAACACAACAGGUGCCCUUUCCAGCCCAAAAGAGACGAAUCUCAAUGAAAUUAUUCGUAAUUUGAACAAUAUAUAACUUCGGAACAACAGUGUAAGAUUUUCCAUUUGCUUGUUUCUUUAUAUCAAAAUCCUUUUCUUUAAGUUCUCCCUGCAUGCACCAGGCAAGACAACAAAAGAUAUAAAAAUCCAAGGAAGAGAAAGGAAAUGUUGUAGAAUCAGUUUAGUUGAUAAAACAAAUGGGAAUCAUUCCCACGAUUUUAUGUACUAUUAAGAUGUUAUCAUUCUCUGGUAUAUGCACGAAUAAACCACCUGAAUGUAUAUAUUGAAAAUCCUCUUCCCCACACUUCUCCAUGUCUGAUCAUCUGGGAAAAAGAUCUCAGAAAAUUGAAGUAAAACAUUGUAAUUGCCAUUCUUAAGCCCAAUGCCGUAGUAUCUCAAUGAAGAGGGUGACAUUCUAGCUGUCUGAAAUAGUUCAGAAUCAAGUGUGUUGGUAAACCGGUUCGAAGUGUCUAUUAUGUAAGUCGCAUCAUUGGUAUCAAUGAAUUUCCCAGUGUUGCUAACACCCCAUCUAGAUGAGUUCAUAACGUAGUAUGAUGCACCCUGAAGACUGGCAUCAUCAGGAUCGUAAAUGGAGUUGUCUGCGGCUCUGAUGGGUGUCUCACCACCAGAGUCUACCGCGAAGGAGGAAUCUGCAAGUUAACAUCAACAUAGAAGUGAUACAGAUUUUAGUAUUGUCCAGGGAAGAUGCUGCUAAGGAUGAAGAGAUAAGGGCUCACAAGAUGGAGAGCCACUAAGACAUGGAGUAUCACGCUGAAGGCAAUUUAGUCCUGGAGGCAAAAUACUGACAAAGUAGAUAGCUCAACCUUCAAUGACAUAGUUAAAUUACGAGUUGCGGUAUUCCAUAUGUAGAUUAAAAAAGAUAAAUGAUCUAAGAAAAAAAUACCUGCUGUUGGAGCUAUCUAUUAUGAAGUUGUUCCACACCAAAUUCCUAAAAGAAAACCAAUGCAGACAGUUUGGUCACAAAAUGCUAUGUUCAGCAUGCAAGUCUAUAGUUUCACAGUUCAGACUCCGAAAUGAAAAUGUAACAUAAAUGCAUUGAUUUUGUGUGUAAUUAUUAAAAAACCUACACUUUUGAAUUGUUUGUGUUCACCCACGAUGGAAAUCUUCCAGAGAGCAUAUUGUAUGAAAGGUCUCUACAAUAAAAAUAUUAAGGCAUAUUCAUUAAAACAAUGAAGAAAGAGAAUAACCAAGAUCCUCCACAUAUAAACAAAAACCAAUCAUUCAUCUUCCAUGGCGUGGUGCGCAUACAUCCUGUCAGCAUGAAAUAGAAUAAAACAGACCAACAGACCUCUUGGAACAAAGGAAGAAAAUAGAUCUUUUUACUUGAUAGAAGAAAACAUCUUACAUGGUACGAAGUGAAGGGCUUUUUGUAUCCGGUAGGCUCCCAGAGAGGUUAUUGCUCCCAAGAAAACUGGUCUCGAUGAACCUUAGUUUUUGAAAAUUGAAAUCCUUAAAAUAGGACUAAUAGAAGAACUAGAUUCUAUCCAGAUAUCCUUACAGAAAUGUGAGAGAACUCAGGUUCAGAAGAAUUGAAGAAACUUCGCCUGUGAUGCUGUUAAAACUUAAGUUCCUGAUUCAGCCGGAAACAUAUAAAGAUCGUUACACACAAACACUUUCCUCCCAAGUCCCAACUAAACAAUUAGGUUUAAAACAAUUCCCAGUAAUGUUAAAUUCGUAAAAAACAUCCAAUAUUUUCUUACAGAUAAUUAAGUUGUGCAAAUUUCGAGAAGUCCACUGAAGUAAGGUUGUCAGAUAUCCUGGAGUUUCUCAGGACUCUGCAGUAAGAGAAUAAAAAGCUUUAGGGUAUCCCACAUGCCAAAACACAAAGAAGUUAUUAAGUACAAACUAUAUCAUCGUACAAAAUACUCAAAGAUGUCAUGUUAACCACAAAAUCCAAGGAAGACACCUCGCCCGUUAAAUCACCUAUUCGCCUUCACAAUAUAAAAGUUAAUGAACCAUAUGCCCGAUUUAAAGUAGGAAGAACCUACAAACUUGUUAACUUGAGUAGAUUAGAAAAACUUGCAGGAAUGGGACCAUCAAAGUAAUUUCCUUGGAGUCUCCUGCAUUGACACAUACAUCUAAUAAGCAGAGAAAGAAUCAACUCAUUUACAAAUCAUGAAAGCAUAGUCACCCGGUCACUAAAUGUGACACAUGGGGAGAUAUAGAAUGGUAAAAGAAAGAUAGAAACAGCAGCAGCUUCAGUCUACUCCUAUCAUGAACCCCGAAAACAUGUGGAUCAUUUCUCGUCACAAUUAUUUUUACUAACAAGGGAACUAGAGCCUGCAAAAGUAACAAAUUCACCAUGUGAUAUCUUACAGUUCUAUCAAAUUUGAUAAAGUUCCAAUGUAAUCAGGUAUCUUCCCAGUAAACUCGUUAUCUGAUGCCCAUCUGAAUGCAUAAGAACAAAGUUACUGCACUGACUGUAGCACAUCUGCAUGUGCCUUUAUAACAGAAAGUGCAAUAAGAGAAUUUACAGUAUUUUCAGGUUCUUAAGUUUUGAAAAGUUAGGUGGUAGCUCUCCACUUAAACCACAACUAUCAAUAUACCUGGAAUAAAAAAAAGAGAAAUGGUUAUGCUCAAUUUCGGUACAUGUGUUUUACAAGAAAAGGUAGGUCAAGCAUAACCAAGACAUAACAGUUGCUCAAGUUGGGUCAAGUUUUCUACUACUUCAGGAAGUGGGCCGACGAACUUGUUGGUGCUGAUGCCCCUGAAACAUAAGGAAAUGGAGGUUCAGAAAAUACAAACAUGACACAGUUGGUACAUAAAAAAUCAGGUGUUUGAUUUAUGGAGGCGGUACUUUUUCUUUACUUUGUGGCAGUAACUUCUACAAGAAAUAAGCAAUAAGAUUCUGAGCACCGCAAAUAAAAUGUACUAACAGAUCAACAAUCUCCACAUGGCUAGAAUAUAUUCUUGUGGAUUUGAGUUGCGAUGAGAUUCUUGAGGUGCUAUGAGAGAUAUUCUCUUACAGUGCUAUGAGAUUCUUGAGGUUACCGAGCUCCCUAGGUACAACUCCAGUUAAUGCAUUGAUUCCCAGAGCUCUUGUAAUUUUGAAAAGAGCAUAGCAAGUUAAGGACUCACAAGAUACCAGAUAAUAGUACUACCAUUAGUAUAUAUUUAAAUGUUUCGAAGAAACAUGAAAUGUAAUUCUUACAGGUACUUCAACCGAGUCAGCUUUCCAAUGAAUGCUGGUAAAGAUCCAGUUAAGUAAUUUUGCACUAAAUUCCUGCAAGGUAUCAGAUAACCAGUGUACAACUAAGGUUUCUAGAUUUAUCUGCGGAAACACUUAUUGGGCGUCGGACAGCAGCAUUUAAUUCAUAUAGGCCUUACAAUCUAAAUGCAAUUAGAACUAACAUGUUACCAGGAUGAUCUGUAAAAUAGAGGUUAUCGAUUGGCAUGAACCGUAAUAGUGGGAACUUAUUUGUAUUGAGAAAACCAUUUUAACUGAAAAUGGAAUGUAAAUAAAGGAAGUAACAUAUUUGCUGAUGCUGUUUUCUACCUCUUGAAAAUCAACACAGCCAAUUAAAUGACAUAUCUACUGAAAGCCUGACCAAGUAAUUAACUAACAAACUCUAUGUGCAAUGUAUAAAACACGGAAGCUCUCUGUUCACUCCACAUAACCUAUAGCUGUAAAACUAGAACAGAUAGUCUACUGUACUACCUCUCGUCUGUAAGUUUCUGUAAUGCUUUAAAUGGAUGUCCUUUAGUGUUCAUACAGGUUUGUCAGGUAAGUUAGAUUUUGCAAUUCCGCUGGAAUCUGACCAACCACAUCUAGUCCGUACACUUUCCUGCAUAAAUAGAAGAACAAUUCAAUAAGAAACAGGAUUACAUCUCAAAAUUAGUGCAUCGACUAGAAUGAGAACAUUCAACAACUAUUCACACCAAUGUUAUGCAAACAACUGUAUGGUAAGUUGAUAACCAUGCCAAAAUGUCAUUCGGUCACUUCAUUUUUCUCAACAAGUUCGUCAAAGAAGAUUGCCUUAUAUGGAUUGCUAGAACAAUCCUUUUGGCAUUCACCAAAGUUUGUCAUAGGUGUGGUGGACUACUGGACUUUUGGCUUGGCCCACUUUUUCUGCCGCAAUAGUUUAUCUAAUUCAUGGCAGGAUUUUUAGAGAAGCUCAUCUAACGACAGUUGUGGCAAUAUUGAGUAACCAAAAAGAUACCCCCUGCCUAGGAUUUACUCCGAUUAUUUGGGAUGGACCUUUACCUCCUGAUUCCUGGAAUCGGGGUUGAAAAUAUAGACUUUUUCUCUAGGAUUUACUCGGAAUAUUUUGGGAUCGAAAGGAGUGAACUCACAGUCUUGUGAUGUGGCAGACGGUGCUGACGUUGUAGGAGCAGUCGCACUUGAUGCCCGGAUUGAAGUCGACGGCGGUAUCCAACUCGGUGUCAUCGACGGCGGCGCCGCUGCAGAGCUCGCCACUGAUGUUCCACAAGGGCGGCGACAGCGGCGCGCGCAGGCCCCACCGCCGGAAGAUGGCGUUGAGCGCGGCCACUGCGUAUAUAUGUAUGCAGCUGAUCAUUUGAACGCGUUAAUCAGAGGAAUCGAAUGGAAGAGGUAGGAAGUGCCUUCGGAUGGAUCCGUCUCUGCUUGCCGCUGAGCUCGAGCAGACAGCGCGAAGAGCAGCAGCACAAGGCCGCUCAAGCAACCACAAGGCCAAACCAACGCCAAACCUCCAUGUCUUGGCCGCAUCGCUAGCUGCUCUGUUUCUCUCCCUCCCUGAGAUUGAGAUUGAGAUUAAUGGUAGAGGGUGCCUAGAAUGCUAUCGCUAUUUGGUGGCAGAAGACUUCUUUUUUUGACAGCUGGUGGCAGAAGACUUUUUAUUAGCCAGUAUUCGCAUGUCAGCAGCUUGUAUAAUGUUCUGAUUUCCCAUAAGUUUGUUGGAAUUUGGGACUAGGGCCCAAAAUCCAAUCUGAAAUUAAUUUCUGAAAAAUCUCAAAUUUCUGAGGUUUGUUGGAAAGUGAAAUAUUCCCACCUUGCUAAUUUAAGGAAAGUUGGACCAAUAUAUAAAAAAUAUUGGUAUCCCACCUAUCAACAAGGUGAGCAAGAGAAUAUCCCCACACGAGCUCCUCCUACGCUCGCCUAUUCAGGUGAGCAAGGGAUCGAGUCGGGUCGUACUUAUCUUUUUGGCAUUGCGGAAUCGAUUUUGGUUUUAUAAAUCAAUGUUGGUUGGUUUUUUAAACCGAACAGACAUCUGCCGGCGUCGCGUCCAUGAUCCAAUCUCUUUCUUUGUUCGCCGCCUUCUUCUACUCUAUCCCGUCGGCUGCGUGCACAGCUUGCCGGGAGAGCAGACCUCCGGAACCCCGACCUUCGUGAUCCUGCCCGGAAGACGGUCAAUAAGAUUUUUGGAGAGCGUUCUCACGCGACUGCUCGCUUCAUCACGUCCAUGUUUCUCCAUCACCAAUGGCCAACAUUGUCCCCAACAACCAUGAUCCCGCGGCUCAGGCUUCCGCUCAAGCUCAGUAGCAGCAGGUUGCCCAACUCCAAACUCAGUAGCAGCAGGCUGCUCUACUCCAACAGCAGCAGAUUGAACAACAGGCGGUUGCUGCUGCUCAGAUGCAAGCGCAGGCGCUGGCAGCUGCCCAGGAGAUUGCCAAGUCGGCUGCUGCAGCUGGCUGAACAUCGACGCCGCUAGACUCGUCACCGACUUCAACAAAUUCAUCAACAAGGAACAACCAACUCAGGAGAAGGGCACCGUACUGUACGUAAUCUGUUCUUUCUUAUUGAUUUUAUUUAGUAGUUAUAUUACUCAUGCUGUAGAAUUAGACGAGUUUGAUCGCUGUGCGUUGCUGUUUAGUUUGUCUAGUUUGCAUGAUGUAAUAUGCUACUUGAUUUAUGCCAUGAUUUUUUGAAUUAAAUAUUCAUCGAAAAUACUUAAUUAUUCAACAAGGUUGACAUGCCAGAACAUACAAUUCCUGCUUAUGACUCCCACCCCCUCCCUAAAAUCCUAACCACUAGAUUUAAAUUUAGCAUUUUGUAAAACUUACAUAUCGCUCUGCAUAUCUACUACUUGUGUACAUUGAUUUGGCCACUAGUUAUUCUGCUUACUUUGCAGAAUAACUAGUGGAAUGUGUGCAUUUUCGAGGGCGUUAGUCCGGUAGGGGCUCAGCUUGCCGAGGAUAUCCUUGUCGAGGCGGACUUAUGGCGUGCCGCCGGUGCAUGGGCACUUGAUCGCCUCCCCCUACACGCGCGUCUCCCGGACUCGGUGCUGAUUUCUACCCCUUAAUAGUGGGGACUCGGUGAUAAUUUCUACCCCUGUAUAGUAGCCUUUGGCCUUUGUUUUCUUUCUUCUCUUUUCUUUGUUUUGGGGAUCCGUUGGGUCCCAUUUUGUUGUCUCGCUGUACUUGUGCUUCUUGCACUUUCUUCUCAAUGAAAAUGACACGUCGAUCGGCAUGUUCGAUAAAAAAAAAGUUAUUCUGCUGACUUUGCAGACUACCUUGUGUUGGAUUCAGGCACAACUAUUAUUUUCUGAAAUCGAGACAUCAGAAUAAAAAACAAAUCAAGGGUUUACCACUGUUUUAUGACCGGCCAGAGUAAAUAAGAAAUGCAAUUAUGCACAUAAGUAGAGAAAAAGGUUCAGGCUUUUAUUGCAAUAUGAUGUCAUCUAACUGUUCCAAGUUAUUCUGUACAUUGUCGUCUCA
rnacentral:lncRNA from 1 species